CGAGGAAAAGAAACCAACAGGGAUUGCCCUAGUAACGGCGAGUGAAGCGGCAACAGCUCAAAUUUGAAAUCUGGCGUCUUUGGCGUCCGAGUUGUAAUUUGCAGAGGGCGCUUUGGCAUUGGCAGCGGUCCAAGUUCCUUGGAACAGGACGUCACAGAGGGUGAGAAUCCCGUACGUGGUCGCUAGCCUUUACCGUGUAAAGCCCCUUCGACGAGUCGAGUUGUUUGGGAAUGCAGCUCUAAAUGGGAGGUAAAUUUCUUCUAAAGCUAAAUACUGGCCAGAGACCGAUAGCGCACAAGUAGAGUGAUCGAAAGAUGAAAAGCACUUUGGAAAGAGAGUUAAAAAGCACGUGAAAUUGUUGAAAGGGAAGCGCUUGCAGCCAGACUUGCCUGUAGUUGCUCAUCCGGGUUUCUACCCGGUGCACUCUUCUAUAGGCAGGCCAGCAUCAGUUUGGGCGGUUGGAUAAAGGUCUCUGUCAUGUACCUCCUUUCGGGGAGAACUUAUAGGGGAGACGACAUGCAACCAGCCUGGACUGAGGUCCGCGCAUCUGCUAGGAUGCUGGCGUAAUGGCUGUAAGCGGCCCGUCUUGAAACACGGACCAAGGAGUCUAACAUCUAUGCGAGUGUUUGGGUGUCAAGCCCGAGCGCGUAAUGAAAGUGAACGGAGGUGGGAACCUUUCGGGGUGCACCAUCGACCGAUCCUGAUGUCUUCGGAUGGAUUUGAGUAAGAGCAUAGCUGUUGGGACCCGAAAGAUGGUGAACUAUGCUUGAAUAGGGUGAAGCCAGAGGAAACUCUGGUGGAGGCUCGCAGCGGUUCUGACGUGCAAAUCGAUCGUCAAAUUGGC
rnacentral:rRNA from 1 species